AAAACCCCAUAAAUUCUCAUUUAUGAUUUUUGGGCCACAAACCCAAACAUAUAUAGUCCAUUUGAGCGGUAGCUAAAUUUCCCGCUUCCGUCAACGAACAGAACCUCCAUUUCCACUCUUUUUUUUCUUCUAAUAAAAGCCACAGGAAGGGAAAGCUCAGGAAAGGAGAGAGAGAGAGAAGGAAAAAAAAAAAAAGGUAAGAUCUAAUACAAUGUUCGUUUUGUGCAAUCAAUUUGCAUGAUCUAUAAUAGCUGAAAUUUUGUUUUUCGAUUUUGCUAUUUUGUUGCCGUCUUUUUGUUUUUUGGUUUCAUAGUGAAAGAUUGUGAUCAGUAUCAUUAUGCUUCUGCUCGUUGGACUUCACUUAAUAUUGCUGUUUCCUUAGGUUGCCGACAAGAUAUUCGUUAAAAUGCAUCUGUUAUAUUGCCAGUAACUAUCUGCAUAUCAUGUUAUAUUGUCAUUAACCAUCUGUAUGUCACGAUUUCCGUUAAAAUUUUCAACUACUUCAGGUGUUUUAGCUCUUUAGGAGAAAUUUAUAAUGCUGCAAGUCUGCAAUAUGAAUACUGAUAAGGCUUGGUUUUCCAGCAAACUAUUUGCACCUAAGCAAAAUUUGGAUUUGCUAAAAAACAGCAAAACAAAUCAAAGAGCACCCUAACCUACAAACUAUUUCAUGUUGGAUAGAGGUUCCAAUUCAAGAACCAGCUUGUAACGUUAACGAGUUUAAUCAAACUGGCAUCAGGCAAAUUUAGCCCAAUCCCUAUGACUCGGCCAUGUCAAGGAAGCUACACAUGGUAAGAACACGUUCCAUUCUCCAUAAGAAUCGGAAAUGUUAUCCCAUACUUGAGCUUCUCAAGCUCAUGGAAGUUCUGCUCCAUAGAAUUUGCAACUUCCCUUGUCAAUGAAUUGUGGAGAACCUUCCUAAACACUCUAUAAUCGCAAACAGUGCAAAUAACUCGUCACUCUUGGGGAACAUUAGGGACAACGCAAACUAGAAUUCUAAGGUGAAAUGCAACAGCACAGAGUUGAUUUCUUCACUGUAUUGAGACUAAGCAUAGUUUGUCUGCAUAGAAAAUCAUAGUAGGUGAUGGGAGUUUUUGUAACUCUUGGACAGGAGGAAGAAAUUGUCUAUACUUUCAGCAGCAUAACCUAUUGAGUUCAAAAUUGCAGGACAUCUGGAAAAUCAGCAUAGAGCAAAAGUGCAGGACACAAGUAGGCAGAAGAAUAUGACCUCAUGUCCAUAAACAUGUUGGAAGAGUAAACUGAAACAUUAAUAUCUCUUAGUUAAUUAUAUGUGUUUAAAGUUAAGUGAAUCUAAUUAAGUAUGGUUUAUGUACAUGCGCAUAUAUCUCAUUAGUAUGCAUGAAUGUGCUUAUGAAUAAGUUCAUAUACUAUAGAUUAGAGAGUCGUAUUAUUUAAUAUAUAUAUUGGUAUAUGUACAUGUAAUAAGCAAGAGAGUGGUAAGGGAAAGAAUUUCAUUGGAUAAUAAUACAACUAUACAAGUGCUUUUAUGUUUACUCUCUCGUUCAGGUAGCUUCUUUUGAGAAUCGUAGGCCCCGCUUUGUUCCACCAUUGUAGUGUCAGAUUAAAGCUAUUAAGUGGUAUUAGAGCAAAGCUAACAAAUCAAACUGUUACCAUUUACUGUACCUGCUGUCUAAAGUUCAUAAUCUUCCAGCCCAGCAAUUUCUGAGGGAAAAAAAAAAAAGAAUAUAUAUUAAACAUGUGAAAAAUUACAUGGUAAAAAGACUGCAAAUCUGAUUAUCCAAAUGGCAAGGAUAUUAGAAGAGAACAUUAGGUCAUACAAAUAACUUUUCACACAGAACCUCUUGAGGCAUACUAGAGAAUAUUGCAGCAGAAAUGAGGCAGGAGCUUUUGACCGGCUUAAAUUUAAAAUGAAUCAUUUGGAGCUUUAAAAAUUGUAAAUAGCUACUCAUCACCCCAUGUUGAUGGCCCAUCAAGGCAUCAAAUCCACUUCAACCGCUGCAGAUGAUUGGACUACUGCAUCUACUCCUCAUCUUUUAGUUUUCUUUUCCUUUGCAGAGGCAACAACCAAACCGCCCACAAAAUUUUUGUCUUCAGCUUUAUCUACCAUUUUAUUUUUGGCACCAAGUUCAGGACCUGCUCCUCCCUUGUUUUCCUCUCCACUGUGCUCUAUCAUCCCCCGGACUUGCAUAUCUUUUUUAAAAAUUUUCUCAUUUGUUUUCUUUCUUUUCUCAAGUCCUCUGUAUUGAUAUCAUUAUUAUUAUCUUGCUCCUAUGAUGCUUUUCGUGAUCAAUUGUUUGAGUAUGUUUUGAAAGUAUAUCUCCAGGAAAGGGAGCUAAACGGAGACUUCAUAUCGAAAGCUUCAGAUAUAUUUUGACGGAGAAGGUUGAUUUGGUCCAAAGUUUUUGCUGGCUCUUUAUCUAUAUGCAGGUAUAUUAUGGCGAUGGAGGGUUUUUGAAGUAACCCGAAACGGAUAUAUUACAGAAAUGAAUUAGAGGUUUGUUGCUAAGGUGUGCUUAUAUGAUUACAGUUUGUAGCUGAAUUGAACUUCUAGUAAGAUGCAGGACGACAGUAACAAGAGGAAAUUAUGCGAAGCUGUUUGAUAUUUCCUUUGAACGUGGUGAUUAGUAGUUGAUAUUAUAUAUCGAGUCUUUUCUUGGCAAUCAGUUUUGGGAUUAUAAUGCUUACAUUGAUAUUAUAGGGGAUGCAAGUUGCUAAGAGAAGUUCCAUUGGGUCUCUCAAGGUUAUAGAGUUAUAGUUGUAUUUUAGUGUCUGUACUAUAUGCCUUUUUAACACUUUUUUUUUUGUAUAUACUAUGCCUUAGACUUUAAGGGACUA